GUAAUGCUGAUGAUGAUUUUUCAAUUUAUGUUGGUUAGAUUGACAAAUGAUGCAUGUAUAAAGACCAGUACCUAUUGCUGAUGUGUCAUUAUACUUCUCUAUUUUUGAAAAUUAGAUAUUUGAAACUUAUCAAACAUUGACAACUGGUUAAGUGUUCUUGUUAGUUAGUCAAUGCAAGCAAUGUUUCUUUCUGGGAACCAUUUUAACUUUUUGUUUGGCUUUCUUAUUCUAGUUUGUGGUUGGGCUUGGU
rnacentral:misc_RNA from 1 species